CAUAACUGAUGCGAUCCCCUUUCAUGAUGGACCAGCAAUUUUCGAACCUCAUGAUUUGCCUGGCCAUUGUAAAACCAUUAGCAUGUACUCUUCAGGCACCCUUAUGCUUCUUUUAAUAUUUUCUUAACUUUAACAACAUCUACAUGUCUUAGUAGCCUAGACGUAUCUUGAUAUGAUCAUGUGAAAACAUCUUUGAAUUCUUGGAAUAACUCAAUAACGUCCCGCUUUGUCUCUGUGGUGAUAUAGGCUCCGAUCUUCACC
rnacentral:lncRNA from 1 species